rnacentral:rRNA from 1 species
AGCAGAGAUGCUUUGGUGCCUUCGGGAACUCUGAGACAGGUGCUGCAUGGCUGUCGUCAGCUCGUGUUGUGAAAUGUUGGGUUAAGUCCCGCAACGAGCGCAACCCUUUAUCCUUUGUUGCCAGCGGUCCGGCCGGGAACUCAAAGGAGACUGCCAGUGAUAAACUGGAGGAAGGUGGGGAUGACGUCAAGUCAUCAUGGCCCUUACGAGUAGGGCUACACACGUGCUACAAUGGCGCAUACAAAGAGAAGCGACCUCGCGAGAGCAAGCGGACCUCAUAAAGUGCGUCGUAGUCCGGAUUGGAGUCUGCAACUCGACUCCAUGAAGUCGGAAUCGCUAGUAAUCGUAGAUCAGAAUGCUACGGUGAAUACGUUCCCGGGCCUUGUACACACCGCCCGUCACACCAUGGGAGUGGGUUGCAAAAGAAGUAGGUAGCUUAACCUUCGGGAGGGCGCUUACCACUUUGUGAUUCAUGACUGGGGUGAAGUCGUAACAAGGUAAGCGUAGCGAG